rnacentral:rRNA from 1 species
GAUGAACGCUGGCGGCGUGCCUAAUACAUGCAAGUCGAGCGAAUGGAUUAAGAGCUUGCUCUUAUGAAGUUAGCGGCGGACGGGUGAGUAACACGUGGGUAACCUGCCCAUAAGACUGGGAUAACUCCGGGAAACCGGGGCUAAUACCGGAUAACAUUUUGAACAGCAUGGUUCGAAAUUGAAAGGCGGCUUCGGCUGUCACUUAUGGAGGGACCCGCGUCGCAUUAGCUAGUUGGUGAGGUAACGGCUCACCAAGGCAACGAUGCGUGCCCGACCUGAGAGGGUGAUCGGCCACACUGGGACUGAGACACGGCCCAGACUCCUACGGGAGGCAGCAGUAGGGAAUCUUCCGAAAUGGACGAAAGUCUGACGGAGCAACGCCGCGUGAGUGAUGAAGGCUUUCGGGUCGUAAAACUCUGUUGUUAGGGAAGAACAAGUGCCAGUCGAAUAAGCUGGCACCUUGACGGUACCUAACCAGAAAGCCACGGCUAACUACGUGCCAGCAGCCGCAGUAA